rnacentral:rRNA from 1 species
UACGUAGGUCCCGAGCGUUGUCCGGAUUUAUUGGGCGUAAAGCGAGCGCAGGUGGUUUAUUAAGUCUGGUGUAAAAGGCAGUGGCUCAACCAUUGUAUGCAUUGGAAACUGGUAGACUUGAGUGCAGGAGAGGAGAGUGGAAUUCCAUGUGUAGCGGUGAAAUGCGUAGAUAUAUGGAGGAACACCGGUGGCGAAGGCGACUUACUGGACUGUAACUGACGUUGAGGCACGAAAGUGUGGGGAGCAAACAGG